UUCAGUCCUGAGGCAAAAUGAAACCUGACAAGCCCCUACAAUUGUCCAAAUAGAGAUGCUUCAAACUGUCAGAUUGCGUUCAUCAAGAUGUGACAUUUCAUACUUUGACAGAGAUAACAGAAGGGAUGAGUCAGGAAUUGUGACCCAUUGGAAGACUAUCUUCCAUUUAAAAGUUUGCAGAUGUGUCGUCCAGGAAGGAACUGUUUUAGUACAUGAGAGGACUACAAGUCAGUUAGUUAGUAAAACUUCAAGACAUUGUUAUGUUUGAAGCAAAGGAUGUCAAGCUUGCACGUAAAACCAAACCCUCAAAUUAAGCUAUGACUCAUGUCUUGGACAUAAUUCUGUCCCUUUACAGCAAAAUAUUCAGAGGAGAGACGUUUCCUUUGUGUCCAGAAAUGGAGCUGUCUUCUAAACGCACCACCAGAGGACCAUGAAGGAAGACAGACUUCUUUGUUUGGUCUUUCUUAACUGAAGCAAGUAGCCCAAGAGUCUGCAGAUCAUUAGAGCCAGAAUGGAGGCCACUCAGACGUGAUGAAGUUCGUCGGCUGAAAGCAGCUCAUUAUUGAAAGCCUCUUGUUGCACCAUGGACUCCACCAUCUCUGUCAGAGGUCAGGCACUGCCUUGACUCCCUGGGGCUGUUAACAAAUUACACUCAGCCAUUUAUGUCUACACGUGCAGCUCCCUGAAGACUUGAUUUGCCAAUCACAUCCACAACCAUAAACCUUAAACAGGAAGCUCUGCGUUUGGGGUACGGUCUCCAGAUAGUACGCCACGAGUGUUUUGAAACUGAAGAGGGGGGAGCACGAGGACUGAAGUUCAAUUCUACCUCUGUUGCAAGGCACUCGUCUUGCCUAAGCUGGGCUUCCAAUUUCCUGUAUUUGCAAUGGCAGGUUUGGGAAGCUUUUCCGUAGACAGGAAGCGUCAGGGUGGGACCAAGAAGCUGUACACUUUGUUUGCUUGCUGCAUGUGGUUUUAGGACCAUCAAAGAGAGCUGGAAUUCUGUGGUUUGAGCAUCUGCUCAAAGUACUGUUAUCAGCGAACACCUCCAGACUUCAACACUUUCCUGUUAAUGUCUGAUGUCUGCACUGCAGAUGCAAGCGUUUUUAUGCAUGCCCGACUAUGCCAGACAACCGCUUGUGGUGUAAAUGUGUCUUUUUGUGGUAUACCGUUGUGUGUGAAGAAGUACUUGUUGCUAAUGCUAGGCCCCAAGCAAACAGACUCAGUUUGUCCCCAAGUUUACUGACCUUUACCCUCUGACACACUGAAACACAAAUAAACUGCUGCUGUGAAUAACGGUUUCUGUUUUUGCUUACAAGGGGUUUAGCACCUGUAAAAUAUUAUUUACAACAUGAAGUGUUCACGUUCACAUUUGGAUAUGCCGAGAUGUCUACUAGCUGCACAGUUACAUUGUACUUACUAAAAUAAGUACUGAGGAAUAUUAAUUAACUACAUGAACUUACUGUAGGGUUAGGGUUUGGUUUGGGGUUAGUUUCUUGUAAUUAUGUGUUAUUUACUGUUAUUACUAUAGUAAGUACAUGAAGUAACGUGUAACUACGUCACCCUAAAAUAAAGUGUUACCUCAUUUUUUUUUGAGCUGAAAGAGGAGCACAAAAACAACCACACCUAGAAUACAAUCCCACAACACACGCUCUGCAACAUGCACACUUAUGCAAGGGUGUUGAACUCGCGCAUGAGGCGUGGUUCUGUGUUGUUUUGAGUAACAGCUGACAUCUUAAUUCUGAUCGAAUGGUGAUUAAAAGUUAAUUUAUUAAAUAUGAGCUAUCUGGUAGUCAUUCUAUCAUUCUAUCUAUCUGUCUGUCUGUCAUUCUUUGUACCUAUCUAUCUGUCUAUCUAUCUAUCUAUCAUGCCAUCGUUGUUCUAUAGUUCUAUCACUGCUCUAUCAUUCUGUCUGUAAGGCCUAUAAACCUUCAGAUAUAAAUCUUUUGAGGCCAAUAAACAUUCAACAUUCAAAGUUUGCCUUGAAAGUUAUGAAUUUUAGUCAAUUUUUUACUUCCUUUCAUAAAAUUUUUAAUUGCAAUUCUGCAUCCAUAGUUGACCUUAAAGAGAAAGUGCCCAUGAAAGACAGCGUAUGCUAGCGCCACCUUGCGGUAACACUGAGAAUGCAACACAUGUUUGUGUUUUGUUAUGAAUAAACAUGUUAAAUUAGA